UUACCCAAUCCCGAUUCGGGGAGGUAGUGACAAUAAAUAACAAUACAGGGCCAACGGUCUUGUUAUUGGAAUGAGAACAAUUUAAAUAACUUAACGAGGAUCAAUUAGAGGGCAAGUCUGGUGCCAGCAGCCGCGGUAAUUCCAGCUCUAAUAGCGUAUAUUAAAGUUGUUGCAGUUAAAAAGCUCGUAGUCGGAUGUCGGGCUCGGGCAGGCUGUCGGCUUCGGUCGGACGGCAGGCUCGGGUCUUUCUGCCUGAGGAUCCCGUUGCACUUAAUUGUGGGGCGUGGGGACGCAGGCCGUUUACUUUGAAAAAAUUAGAGUGUUCAAAGCAGGCCUACGCUUGAAUACAUUAGCAUGGAAUAAUGGAAUAGGACUUUGGUGCUAUUUUGUUGGUUUAUGGGACCGAAGUAAUGAUUAACAGGGACAGUUGGGGCCGUUUAUAUUUCGUUGUCAGAGGUGUAAUUCUUGGAUUUACGAAAGACAAACUUCUGCGAAAGCAUUCGGCAAGGAUGUUUUCAUUGAUCAAGAACGAAAGUUAGGGGAUCGAAGACGAUCAGAUACCGUCGUAGUCUUAACCAUAAACUAUGCCGACUAGGGAUCAAUGGAUGUCAAUUUGCGACUCCAUUGGCACCUUGUGAGAAAUCAAAGUUUUUGGGUUCCGGGGGGAGUAUGGUCGCAAGGCUGAAACUUAAAGGAAUUGACGGAAGGGCACCACCAGGAGUGGAGCCUGCGGCUUAAUUUGACUCAACACGGGGGAACUUACCAGGUCCAGACAUAGUAAGGAUUGACAGAUUGAAAGCUCUUUCUUGAUUCUAUGGGUG
rnacentral:rRNA from 1 species